rnacentral:tRNA from 1 species
ACUAUUUUGGCAGAGAAAUGUAGUGAUUUUAGAAGUCAUAAAUGUAUAAUUAUAUUAUAUAGAUAGUA